CGCCCCCCUCCCCGGGGGGGUGGCCAGCGCCCGCCAGAGGACCAUCAAACUCCAGUCAGUAAACGAUGCAGUCUGAAAAACAUUUAAUAAACUAAAACUUUCAACAACGGAUCUCUUGGUUCUGGCAUCGAUGAAGAACGCAGCGAAAUGCGAUAAGUAAUGUGAAUUGCAGAAUUCAGUGAAUCAUCGAAUCUUUGAACGCACAUUGCGCCCUUUGGUAUUCCGAAGGGCAUGCCUGUUCGAGCGUCAUUACAACCCUCAAGCUCUGCUUGGUAUUGGGCACCGUCCUUUGCGGGCGCGCCUCAAAGACCUCGGCGGUGGCGUCUUGCCUCAAGCGUAGUAGAACAUACAUCUCGCUUCGGAGCGCAGGGCGUCGCCCCACGGACGAACCCUCCUGAAAUUUUCUACAAGGUUGACCUCGGAUCAAGGUAGGAAACACCCU
rnacentral:rRNA from 1 species